GCUCGCUUCGGCAGCACAUACUAAAAUUGGAACAAUACAGAGAAGAUUAGCAUGGUUUCUGCACAAGAAUGACACGCAAAUUCAUGAAGCGUUCCGUAUUUUU
rnacentral:snRNA from 1 species